rnacentral:rRNA from 1 species
UACGUAGGUGGCAAGCGUUGUUCGGAAUUAUUGGGCGUAAAGGGCGCGUAGGCGGCUUGUUAAGUCGGCUGUGAAAGCCCGGGGCUCAACCCCGGAGGGUCAGCCGAUACUGGCAGGCUAGAGUACGGAAGAGGUAGCUGGAAUUCCCGGUGUAGCGGUGAAAUGCGCAGAUAUCGGGAGGAACACCAAUGGCGAAGGCAGCUCGCUGGGACGUGACUGACGCUGAGACGCGAAAGCGUGGGGAGCAAACAGG